rnacentral:snRNA from 1 species
GUGGGAGCAGCACAUAAUCUAAAAUUGGAACAAUACAGAGAAGAUUAGCAUGGCACUGCGCAAGGAUGACAUGCAAAUUCAUGAAGCGUUCCAUAUUUUU